rnacentral:rRNA from 1 species
UACGUAGGUGGCGAGCGUUGUCCGGAUUUAUUGGGCGUAAAGCGCGCGCAGGCGGCCGGAUCAGUCUGCUGUGAAAUCUCCUGGCUCAACUGGGAGCUUGCAGGCGAAACUGCCGUGCUGGAGUGUGGGAGAGGUGCGUGGAAUUCCUGGUGUAGCGGUGAAAUGCGUAGAUAUCAGGAGGAACACCUGUGGCGAAAGCGGCGCACUGGACCACAACUGACGCUGAGGCGCGAAAGCUAGGGGAGCAAACAGG